AGGACGAACGCUGGCGGCGUGCUUAACACAUGCAAGUCGAGCGGUAAGGCCCUUCGGGGUACACGAGCGGCGAACGGGUGAGUAACACGUGGGUGACCUGCCCCCUACUCUGGGAUAAGCCUGGGAAACUGGGUCUAAUACCGGAUAUGACUACAUGUCGCAUGGUGUGUGGUGGAAAGUUUUUCGGUGGGGGAUGGGCCCGCGGCCUAUCAGCUUGUUGGUGGGGUGAUGGCCUACCAAGGCGACGACGGGUA
rnacentral:rRNA from 1 species